UACGUAGGUGGCAAGCGUUGUCCGGAAUUAUUGGGCGUAAAGCGCGCGCAGGCGGCCUUUUAAGUCUGAUGUGAAAUCUUGCGGCUCAACCGCAAGCGGUCAUUGGAAACUGGAGGGCUUGAGUACAGAAGAGGAGAGUGGAAUUCCACGUGUAGCGGUGAAAUGCGUAGAUAUGUGGAGGAACACCAGUGGCGAAGGCGACUCUCUGGUCUGUAACUGACGCUGAGGCGCGAAAGCGUGGGGAGCAAACAGG
rnacentral:rRNA from 1 species